rnacentral:rRNA from 1 species
CCUACGGGUGGCAGCAGUCGAGAAUCAUUCACAAUGGGGGAAACCCUGAUGGUGCGACGCCGCGUGGGUGAAGGAGCGUUUCGGCGCGUAAAGCCCUAUCGGCAGGGAAGAAGAAGGACGGUACCUGACUAAGAAGCCCCGGCUAACUACGUGCCAGCCGCCGCGGUAAUACGUAGGGGGCAAGCGUUAUCCGGAUUUACUGUGUGUAAAGGGGGCGCAGACGGCAGCGCAAGCCAGGAGUGAAAGCCCGGGGCCCAACCCCGGGACUGCUCUUGGAACUGCGCGGCUGGAGUGCAGGAGGGGCAGGCGGAAUUCCUGGUGUAGCGGUGAAAUGCGUAGAUAACAGGAGGAACACCGGUGGCGAAGGCGGCCUGCUGGACUGCGACUGACGUUGAGGCCCGAAAGCGUGGGGAGCAAACAGGAUUAGAUACCCGAGUAGUC